GGGUGGCUUCCCAGCACCCACUGUGUGGUGGGGUGGAGAGCCUCGGCUGGGGUUCACGGGGCUGUGCUCUCAUCUCCCCAGCCUUGUCUUCAACUCCCUUUUCCUCGCCGACCUUGAACCACGCCUUUUCCUGCAACAACCCCAGCACCCUUCCCCGUGGAUCCCAGCCCAUGAGUCCUCGAACUACAAUGGGGCGGAGGAGGCAGCGAAGAAGGGAACACAAGAGCUCGUUGUCGCUAGCCUCCAGCACGGUGGGGCCGGGCGGGCAGAUUGUGCACACGGAGACCACGGAGGUCGUGCUCUGUGGAGACCCCCUCAGCGGCUUUGGCCUCCAGCUCCAGGGCGGCAUCUUCGCCACCGAGACCCUGUCCUCCCCACCCCUCGUGUGCUUCAUCGAGCCUGACAGUCCGGCUGAGAGGUGUGGGCUGCUGCAGGUGGGGGACCGUGUCCUGUCCAUCAAUGGCAUUGCCACCGAGGACGGGACUAUGGAGGAAGCCAACCAGCUCCUGCGGGACGCCGCACUGGCCCACAAGGUCGUGCUGGAGGUGGAGUUCGAUGUGGCGG
rnacentral:lncRNA from 1 species